rnacentral:snoRNA from 1 species
CAUCAAACUUGGCUCUCUUCCUUCCGUGUAGUCGGUGGAUGGAGGUGCCAGACGUGAGGUGUCUUGCGGGCGGUCUUCGGACUGGCUGUGAGUCCCUUGAAAUGUACUGAACUGUACUUCUCUUUGCUCGAAAAGCGUGACGUUGCUGGUUGUGGAGGCUGCCUGUAUGGCCAGUCGGCGACCGGUUUGUCUGCUGCGGCGUUUAAUGGAGGAGUGUUCGAUUCGCGGUAUGGUUGGCUUCGGCUGAACAAAGCGCUUAUUGGAUGUUCUUCCUGCUGUGGCGGUACGGAUCGGUGAACCGUAGCUGUGCUAGGCUUGGCGUUUGAACCGGCGGUGUUGUUGCGAAGUAGGGUGGCGGCUUCGGCUGUCGAGGGUCGAUCCAUUUGGGAACUCUGUGUCUCUGCGGCGCACUUGUGUGCUUGUGGUGGCAUCUCAA